GCCGAGGCACCCCUUGGCCAGCGACUCGGAGGAGGAGGAGCCGCCCCGGUGUAAGUACAUUAUUGUAGGACCUACCAAAACACGACGGGGGAAGGCCGCUGCAAACACCCCCGUUGCGUUCAUGGAUUAUCCACCAUGGGAUGUGGGGGGGGAGGGGGGGGGAAGGGAGAGAGCGAGGCCUCUCGCCCCCCCCCCCACCACCACCCUUGAGUUCCUGUAGGCCCUACAAUAACAAUCUCUGCCCCUCGCUUCAGGUCCCGACGCCGGAGACGCCGCCUCCCCCCGCGUGGUGCCCGAGAGCGACCCCGAAGAGCCGGACGUGCGACCCGGCGCCCACGUGCUCCGAAAACGCCUCCCCCCGGCUUCGACCUUGGGUUGCGCGGAUCUGGACGGCGGGGGACCCAAAAAACGCCGCUUGGGCCCCAAAACCCCCCCGGGUCCGGGGUUCGGGUCCCGAAAUCGCGUCCUGAACCCCGACGUGGCCCAAGGGACCCCGAAACCGCACGCUGGACGUGCCGGCAACGGGCGCUGGGUGCUGGUGGUGGACAGCGACACGGAUGAGGAGGAGGCCGAGCUCCUUCCGCCCGUCGGGCGCCCCGAAAUUCGACGAAAAACCCCAAACGUGCCCCACAGCCCCAGGGGGGAGGCCAGGAUCCCACGGCCCGACGCCGGAGGUCCCGGAGGUGGGGAGCUCGCGGCGGACAGCGACGCGGACGCGGAGGGAGACGGAGCGGAGGAGGGCGUGGGGCGGCCCCGAAAUCAUCAAACGAUCCCAAAUGUCCCAAAAACGGAGGCGGAGAGCCCAGCCCCGGGGCCUGGAGGUCCAAGGGACGAGCGUCGGGCGCCGAGGGCGGACGGCGAUAGGGAUGGGGAGGACGGCGGAGCCCCGACCCGACGGGGGACCCCGAAUUCACCGCACCCCCCCGGUUUGGAGGCUGGGGGUCCCCACGGGGGGCGGCGGGCGCCGGUGGUGGGCGGCGAUCCAGAUGUUGGCUGCCCAGCGGCCCCCCGAGGCCUGGAUCCAGAUGUUGGGGGGGCCAAAAGGAGGCAGCGGCCUCCGCCGGUAGACAGCGAUACGGAUGUGGAGGAGGAAGAGCUGGAUCCAGAUGUUGCCCGCCCGAAAACCCACAAAACGCCCCAAAGUGCCCCAAAAGAUCCAGCUGUGCUCGCAGAGACCCCAAAUUCUGACCUUAAAGGACCUCCAAGCGGACAUCGGAGCGUAGAGGUGGACAGCGAUACAGAUGUUGAGGGAGAAGAGCUGGAUCCAGAUGUUGCCCACCCGAGAAACCACAGAACACCCCAAAUUACCCCAAAGGAUCCAGCUGUGCUCACAGAGACCCCAAAUUCCGACCUUAAAGGACCUCCAAGCGGACAUCGGAGCGUAGAGGUGGAGACGGACACAGACAUUGAGGAAGAAGAGCUGAGUCCAGAUGUUGCCCACCCGGAAAACCACAGAACGCCCCAAAUUACCCCAAAGGAUCCAGCUGUGCUCGCAGAGACCCCAAAUUCCGGUCUUAAAGGACCUCACGUUGGAGAUUGGGGUUUAGAGGUGGAGAGCGACACAGACAUCGAGGGAGAAGAGCUGGAUCCAGAUGUUCCCCACCUGAAAACCCACAAAACGCCCCAAAUUCCCCCGCGGGAUCCAGCUGUGGUGACGGAGACCCCAAAUCCUGACCUGAAAGGGCCUCGGGUUGGAGAUCGGAGCCUCAAGGUGGACAGCGAUACAGAUGUUGAGGGAGAAGAGCUGAAUCCAGAUGUUCCC
ensembl:lncRNA